rnacentral:rRNA from 1 species
AGUGCUUUUAUUAGUUUACAACCACACGGAUCUCGGUCCGUUCAUUUACUUGUGAUGACUCUGAAUAACUUUGUGCAGAGAGCACGGUCUCCGCACCGGCUCCGUAUCUUUCGAGUUUCUGCCUUAUCAUGCUGUGGAUUGUAGGCCAUGCGCCUACAGUGGCUGUUACGGGUGACGGAGAAUCAGGGUUCGAUUCCGGAGAGGGAGCCUGAGAAACGGCUACCACAUCCAAGGAAGGCAGCAGGCACGCAAAUUACCCAAUCCCAGCUCUGGGAGGUAGUGACGAAAAAUAACAAUGCGGGACUCUUCCGAGUCUGCGUAAUUGGAAUGAGCACACUUUAAAUCCUUUAGCAACAACCAAUUGGAGGGCAAGUCUGGUGCCAGCAGCCGCGGUAAUUCCAGCUCCAAUAGCGUAUAUUAAAGUUGUUGCGGUUAAAAAGCUCGUAGUUCGAGUUCAGUUACGGACUGACGCGGGAGGUCACCGCCCGGUGCUUGCCCGUCAGGUUCCGAACAGCUUUCUUUAUAGGAAGCCAAGCCGGUUCUGGCGGGGUGCUCUUUACCGAGUGUCCCGUACGGCCGGCCAGUUCACCUUGAAUAAAUGAGAGUGCUCAAAGCAGGCUACUCUGGAAUACAAUGCCCGAAUGUUAACUGCAUGGAAUGAUGGAAGAUGAUCUGGGUUCCAUUUUGUUGGAUGUGGGAGCCCCAGGUAAUGAUAAACAGGGACUGUCGGGGGCAUCCGUACUACGACGCGAGAGGUGAAAUUCAGUGACCGUCGUAGGACGAACAACAGCGAAAGCAUUUGCCAAGAAUGUCUUCGUUGAUCAAGAACGAAAGUUAGAGGAUCGAAGGCGAUCAGAUACCGCCCUAGUUCUAACCCUAAACGAUGCUGACUAGCAAUUCGCCGUCGUUAUU